AUUGGAAUGAGCACAUGGUAAAUAGGUUAGCGAGGAACAAUUGGAGGGCAAGUCUGGUGCCAGCAGCCGCGGUAAUUCCAGCUCCAAUAGCGUAUAUUAAAGUUGUUGCAGUUAAAAAGCUCGUAGUUGGAAGUUGGGCACGGCCGGGCGGUCCACCUUUGGGUGCGUACUGCUCAGUGGCGUUUGCGCGUCACGAGGCUGAGCCUUGGCCGCGUCCUCCUGCAGCAAUGCAGGCGGGACAGGCAGUUACCUUGAAAAAAUUAGAGUGUUCAAUGCAGGCGUCUCCGCCCGAAUAGAUUAGUAUGGAAUAAUGGAAUAGGACCUUGGUCUUGUUUUGCUGGUUCUCAGGACCACGGUAAUGAUCAACAGGGACAGUUGGGGGCACUCGUAUUUCAUUGCUAGAGGUGAAAUUCUUGGAUUUAUGAGCGACGAACUUUUGCGAAAGCAUCUGCCAAGGAUGUUCUCAUUAAUCAAGAACGAAAGUUGGGGGAUUGAAGACGAUUAGAUAUUGUCGUAGUCUCGACUGUAAACGAUGCCGACUAGGGAUCGCGCGGUGUUGAUUACGACCCGCGCGGCACCUCGCGAGAAAUCAAAGUGUUUGGGUUCCGGGGGUAGUAUGGUCGCAAGGCUGAAACUUAAAGGAAUUGACGGAAGGGCACCACCAGGAGUGGAGCCUGCGGCUUAAUUUGACCCAACACGGGGAAACUCACCAGGUCCGGACAUGGCGAGGAUUGACAGAUUGAGAGUUUUUUCUUGAUUCCAUGGAUGGUGGUGCAUGGCCGUUCUUAGUUGGUGGAGUGAUUUGUCUGCUUAAUUGCGAUAACGAACGAGACCUUGAUCUGCUAACUAGCGACGCUUGCUCUUUCGGGCAGGCGGCUCGCUUCUUAGAGAGACUGUGCGUGUUGCAACGCACGGAAGCUCGAGGCAAUAACAGGUCUGUGAUGCCCUUGGAUGUUCUGGGCCGCACGCGCGCUACAAUGUCACGGCCAGCGAGUCAGCUGCUUCGGCAGCGCCACCUUGGCUGACGAGCCUGGGGAAUCUUGCAGCCCGUGACGUGCUGGGGAUAGUCCUUUGCAAUUAUUGGACUUGAACGAGGAAUUCCUUGUAAGCGCAAGUCACCAGCUUGCGCUGAAUCUGUCCCUGCCCUUUGUACACACCGCCCGUCGCUACUACCGAUUGAAUGGCUUAGUGAGGCCUUUGGAUGCGCGGCCACGGGGCGAAAGCCUGGUGCGCUGCGCAGAAGCUGGACAAACUUGGUCAUUUAUAGGAAGUAAAAGUCGUAACAAGGUUUCCGUAGGUGAACCUGCGGAAGG
rnacentral:rRNA from 1 species